GAAGAAAGCUGGCGGCGUGCUUAACACAUGCAAGUCGAACGGAAAGGCCCUGCUUUUGUGGGGUGCUCGAGUGGCGAACGGGUGAGUAACACGUGAGUAACCUGCCCUUGACUUUGGGAUAACUUCAGGAAACUGGGGCUAAUACCGGAUAGGGGCUCCUGCUGCAUGGUGGGGGUUGGAAAGUUUCGGCGGUUGGGGAUGGACUCGCGGCUUAUCAGCUUGUUGGUGGGGUAGUGGCUUACCAAGGCUUUGACGGGUAGCCGGCCUGAGAGGGUGACCGGCCACAUUGGGACUGAGAUACGGCCCAGACUCCUACGGGAGGCAGCAGUGGGGAAUAUUGCACAAUGGGCGGAAGCCUGAUGCAGCAACGCCGCGUGCGGGAUGACGGCCUUCGGGUUGUAAACCGCUUUCGCCUGUGACGAAGCGUGAGUGACGGUAAUGGGUAAAGAAGCACCGGCUAACUACGUG
rnacentral:rRNA from 1 species